AAACGGCACCUCGCGGGAAUUCUACAUCCAUGGAAAGCCAUACUGCACCUCGCGGAGUUUUACUAUGCCCGGCGGCAAGCAGAAUAUAAGUGUAGAACUGGCCGAUCCUAUGCCUAGGGCCAUGUUCCCCCUAGAAAGGGACUGGGCUCCGCCCACCUAGAAGACUACUAUGCGCACACAGGCCGAUGUCUAACUCCAUCGACUAUAGGUGUCCUGUAGAUACUGCCAAGCCAUGCAUAAAUGCCAUAAUGCACCCUCCCAAUACUCUACUAAAAAGGAGUAUAAUCAAGACUACCACUCACUCGACCAUGACCCAAUCAUAAACUAACAUCAGGGUUAGGAGUGAGGGGUCAAGGGAGUGCAAUGCAACUCAAUAUACCACUGAAAAGGCUCAAAAAGUCUUUGAAAUAGAGGAAAUAUAAUCAAUUUACAAAAGAAGUCAUUUCACAAUUUGGAACCAAUUUAACUACUUAUCUACCCCUUGUAAUUCCUCUCAAUGUUCCCUCAAAUGCAUGUACAAAAUAAUCAAGCAUGGAGAAACAAGAUUAUAGAGGAAUCUACUACAAUAUCAAUCAAUAUGCACAAGUGGAAUCAAUUCAUACUAGGCGACAUUCAUGAAAAUGAACUAAGAAUGUUCAUGGUAC
rnacentral:lncRNA from 1 species